AACCUGGUUGAUCCUGCCAGUAGUCAUAUGCUUGUCUCAAAGACUAAGCCAUGCAUGUCUAAGUAUAAGUAUUAUACAGCGAAACUGCGAAUGGCUCAUUAAAACAGUUAUAGUUUAUUUGAUAAUCGAAUUUACAUGGAUAACCGUGGUAAUUCUAGAGCUAAUACAUGCUGGUGUGCCCGACUUUUGCGGAAGGGCGGUAUUUAUUAGAUAACAAGCCAAUAUUCCUCUGGUCUAUUGUGGUGACUCAUAAUAACUGAUCGAAUCGCAAGGCCUAUGGCCGCGAUAAGUCAUUCAAGUUUCUGCCCCAUCAGCUUUCGAUGGUAGUGUAUUGGACUACCAUGGCGUUUACGGGUAACGGAGGAUUAGGGUUCGAUUCCGGAGAGGGAGCCUGAGAAACGGCUACCACAUCUAAGGAAGGCAGCAGGCGCGUAAAUUACCCAAUCCUGACUCAGGGAGGUAGUGACAAGAAAUAACGGACCGAGGCCUUCUGGCUUCGGGAUUGCAAUGAGCCGAAUUUACACCCCUUAGCGAGAAUCGAUUGGAGGGCAAGUCUGGUGCCAGCAGCCGCGGUAAUUCCAGCUCCAAUAGC
rnacentral:rRNA from 1 species